rnacentral:rRNA from 1 species
GAAAACGACUGCUAAGACUGGUAGGAAGAUAAAAGGCAUCUUUUAUCUUUUAAAAGACCUAGUAAUAGGUAUGCUUUAGGAGGGGCUUGCGCCGUAUUAGUUAGUUGGUAGGGUAAUGGCCUACCAAGACGAUGAUGUGUAGCUGGACUGAGAGGUUGAACAGCCACAUUGGGACUGAGACACGGCCCAAACUCCUACGGGAGGCAGCAGUAGGGAAUUUUCGGCAAUGGAGGAAACUCUGACCGAGCAACGCCGCGUGAAUGACGAAGUACUUCGGUAUGUAAAGUUCUUUUAUCAAGGAAGAAAAGCAAAUGGCGAACCAUUUGUUUGCCGGUACUUGAUGAAUAAGCCCCGGCUAAUUAUGUGCCAGCAGCCGCGGUAAGGCAUAAGGGGCAAGUGUUAUCCGGAAUUAUUGGGCGUAAAGGGUGCGUAGGCGGUCUAGUAAGUCAGUGGUGUAAUGGCAACGCUUAACGUUGUCCGGCUAUUGAAACUGCUAAACUUGAGUUAGAUAGAGGCGAGUGGAAUUCCAUGUGUAGCGGUAAAAUGCGUAAAUAUAUGGAGGAACACCAGAGGCGUAGGCGGCUCGCUGGGUCUUAACUGACGCUGAGGCACGAAAGCGUGGGGAGCAAACAGGAUUAGAUACCCUGGUAGUCCACGCCGUAAACGAUGAGUACUAAGUGUCGGGUUAAACCGGUACUGAAGUUAACACAUUAAGUACUCCGCCUGAGUAGUACGUACGCAAGUAUGAAACUUAAAGGAAUUGACGGGACUCCGCACAAGCGGUGGAUCAUGUUGUUUAAUUCGAAGAUACCCGAAAAACCUUACCAGGUCUUGACAUGUUUUUGCAAAAUGAUAGUAAUAUCGUGGAGGUUACCAGAAACACAGGUGGUGCAUGGUUGUCGUCAGCUCGUGUCGUGAGAUGUUAGGUUAAGUCCUAAAACGAGCGAAACCCUUAUCGUUAGUUGCCAGCACGUUAUGGUGGGGACUUUAACGAGACUGCCAAUGAUAAAUUGGAGGAAGGUGAGGAUCAUGUCAAAUCAGCAUGCCCCUUAUGACCUGGGCUACAAACGUGAUACAAUGGCUGUUACAAAGGGUAGCUGAAACGCAAGUUCUUGGCCAAUCCCCAAAAACAGUCCCAGUCCGGAUUGAAGUCUGCAACUCGACUUCAUGAAGUUGGAAUCGCUAGUAAUCGCGAAUCAGCAUGUCGCGGUGAAUACGUUCGCGGGGUUUGUACACACCGCCGUCAA